rnacentral:sRNA from 1 species
GCGGUAUCGAUUCGAUCGGGAUACUCAUCAAAUAAAAUCGAAAAACCGGGAAUACUCUCUUGCCAAUGGCGGGCCAUAUAAACUCCUCGGAACUAAGCCGCAAGGCCGGUGGAUUACAAAAGCAGGGAGUUCUCAAAUCAUAUUGGACUCGGAGUUUUCAUCACAUCAUCGAUACUCCCUUUU